rnacentral:rRNA from 1 species
GACGUAGGAGACGAGCGUUGUCCGGAGUUACUGGGCGUAAAGGGUGCGCAGGUGGCCGCGCGCGUGGGGAGUGAAAUCGCCUGGCUUAACUGGGCGGGGGCUUUCCAGACGGCGUGGCUUGAGCAGCGGAGGGGGGCGUGGAAUUCCGGGUGGAGCGGUGAAAUGCGUAGAGAUCCGGAGGAACACCGACGGCGUAGGCAGCGCCCUGGCCGCUUUAUGCGAAAGCAGCUGACACUGAGGCACGAAAGCUGGGGGAGCAAACAGG